AACACUGUUAACCUGCGGUACCUGCGGAGGGAUCAUUAACAAGCUGUGGGAGAUCAAUUUGAUCUCACACCUGGCCAACCUUGUUAACCUUAAAUAUAUUGCUUUGGUGAGCCCUGCUCACCAAAGUCAAACCCUAAACUCUUGAUUGUUUCUGCUGUCUGAGCAUGCAAGUGCAAAAUUUAGUUAAAAACUUUUAGCAAUGGAUCU
rnacentral:misc_RNA from 1 species